UUUUUUUGUGUGACAUGUCCCAAAUCUUUAUUGUGUUUGUUAGAUUUGUGUUAGAGACAUUUAAAUAUGUAUCCAUUUGGUUCCACUUUCAGUAUACCCAGGGCCACCAAUGCCUGCUAGCCCAGCUCUCCAACACAGAAGUUUGACUCCUACUUUUAAAGAUUCAGCUCCAGGACGUUUAAGCCCCGCCCUUGUUUCCACCGACCAAUCAGGUGAUCA